ACACUGGGCUACAGGUACACACACAGGGCUACAGGUACCUCAACACACUGGGCUACAGGUACCUCAACACACUGGGCUACAGGUACCUUAACACACUGGGCUACAGGUACCUCAACACACUGGGCUACAGGUACCUUAACACACUGGGCUACAGGUACCUCAACACACUGGGCUACAGGUACACACACACACUGGGCUACAGGUACACACACACACUGGGCUACAGGUACCUCAACACACACACUGGGCUACAGGUACCUCAACACACACACUGGGCUACAGGUACACACACACACUGGGCUACAGGUACACACACACACUGGGCUACAGGUACACACACACACAGGGCUACAGGUACACACACACACUGGGCUACAGGUACACACACACACAGGGCUACAGGUACCUCAACACACUGGGCUACAGGUACCUCAACACACACACUGGGCUACAGGUACACACACAAUUAUUAUGUCAAUACUAGGUAACGCGACACACUCACCCUCUCUCUGCCCCC